AACGACUGAGCCACUCAGGCCUUUGGACUCAGACUGGAACCAAACCACUGGCUUUAAUGGGCCUCCAGCUUAUAAAUGACAUAUCGUGGGACUUCUUAACCUCCAAAAUCAUUGGCAGAGGCUAUUUUCCCUCUUCCUCACUCUGGGCUGGCCCUGUGACUUACUUUGACCAACGCCAUCAGUGUGGCAGAAAUGACAGGUGCCAACCUGUUCCUCCAUGCUCUGGGAAGCAGCACCGUGAAGUGAAGAAGUUCAAGUGACAUGUGGAGGACCGCGAGGAGCAAGCUGAGCUGGCUGAAUGCAGUCCCACCAGCAACCCAAGGCCAGACCAGCAGAGGAACCACCCGGAUCAGACCCGAAUCACCUUGCUGCUCCCCUUGAACCUUCCCGGGUGCCUCUGUCUCUUGCAUGUCUACUCCCGUCUUGGCAUCUGCUUCCUUGGAGGACCUGAACUGACUCUUCUACCCCCUUUUAUUACUUCCUUAAGCCGGUUUGAAGUGGAUUUCUGUCACUUUCAAUUGAACAAUGUCUGAUCAACACAAUACUCCUACUAAGGCACUUGGGUCUUGUCCAGAAGGUGAUGGAGACACUACAGCGUUUUAAGUUGAGGUUGUGAUUAAGUCUCUGUGUGGAGCCCUCCUGACUCACUGGGAGAGGUGGGCUGGAAGGGGAGACUAGAGGAGGGACUCCAGUCAGGGGUUAUGGGAUAGUCCAGGGUACAUGAUUUGUAAGCCAAGCCAGGCAGUGGAAGGGUGGAUGGAAGGGAGAGGAUGGAUUUGGAAGAUAUUUUUAAGAGAGUCUUAAUAGGAUUUGCUGACUGAUUGGAAAGAAGGGUGGGCCGAGUGAACAGGGAGAAGCAGAAAGAGCCUCCUAGUGGCCAGCUCUGCAAAUUACAAUGAUGAUGACACCCCUUUACCAACGGUUCCCUGUGGACUCAACUUUCUUAAUAUCACAGCUGCCCUAGGAGAUAGUUAACAUGAUUAUCCCAUUUUAGAGAUGAGAAGGCUGAGGCUGAGAGAAGUUACAAAAGCUUCCCCAAUGUCUGAGAGUUAGCAAACGGUGUUGUUGGGAUUUAAACCCAGGGCCAUC